rnacentral:rRNA from 1 species
UACGUAGGGUGCGAGCGUUAAUCGGAAUUACUGGGCGUAAAGCGUGCGCAGGCGGUUUUGUAAGACAGAUGUGAAAUCCCCGGGCUUAACCUGGGAACUGCAUUUGUGACUGCAAGGCUAGAGUACGGCAGAGGGGGGUAGAAUUCCACGUGUAGCAGUGAAAUGCGUAGAUAUGUGGAGGAAUACCGAUGGCGAAGGCAGCCCCCUGGGUCGAUACUGACGCUCAUGCACGAAAGCGUGGGGAGCAAACAGGAUUAGAUACCCUGGUAGUCCACGCCCUAAACGAUGUCAACUAGGUGUUGGGGGAGGAGACUUCCUUAGUACCGUAGCUAACGCGUGAAGUUGACCGCCUGGGGAGUACGGUCGCAAGAUUA